ACUACGGGGGGCAGCAGUAGGGAAUAUUGCUCAAUGGGGGAAACCCUGAACCAGCAACGCCGCGUGGAGGAUGAAGGUUUUCGUAUUUUAAACUCCUUUUGUUAGAGAAGAUAAUGACGGUAUCUAACGAAUAAGCACCGGCUAACUCCGUGCCAGCAGCCGCGGUAAUACGGGGGGAGCAAGCGUUACUCGGAGUCACUGGGCGUAAAGAGCGCGUAGGCGGGUUAGCAAGUCAGAUGUGAAAUCCUAUGGCUUAACCAUAGAACUGCAUUUGAUACUGUUAGUCUAGAGUAUGUGAGGGGUAGGUGGAAUUAUUGGUGUAGGGGUAAAAUCCGUAGAGAUCAAGAGGAAUACUGAUUGCGAAGGCGACCUGCUAGAACAUAACUGACGCUGAUGCGCGAAAGCGUGGGGAGCAAACAGGAUUAGAUACCCCUGUAGUC
rnacentral:rRNA from 1 species